rnacentral:lncRNA from 1 species
GAUUCAUUGUGUUGAGUAGCCUUCAAACCACAACCUAGGUAGUUUUUCUUCAAUCAUUUUCUCUAACUUGUUCAUAUAUCUAUUCUUAAAACCACCCUCUCCUUUUCAUAUGGGAUCAGUAGACAACUUUUGAAGGCAUUUCACUAACACCGCAUCCUCAUCAUUUUUUUAUGGACACUUGUUCCUUCCUCUACCAUGAUUAACUUGGCUAC